UUGUACACACCGCCCGUCACACCAUGGGAGUGGGCUGCACCAGAAGUAGAUAGCUUAACCUUCGGGAGGGCGUUUACCACGGUGUGGUUCAUGACUGGGGUGAAGUCGUAACAAGGUAGCCCUAGGGG
rnacentral:rRNA from 1 species